AUAACAUUACCGCCAGUGAACUUGCUGGAUUUGGCGUGGGCACUCUACUCCUUUGUGCGACCAUCGCGGCCCCAAAAAUCGAUGCUUUCUUUGCUGCCUCUCAGCGCAGGGAAUGUUUCUUAUUUCCAAAAUUGAUGUCUAUGACCGUGAACACCCUUUUAAACUUGGUGGUAGACACCCUUUUUUCUUGAUCAGUAAUUGAUUAAGUAGAUUACUGGAAGCUCAUUGGGUUUGUGCAAACGAUGUGGCAAUCUGAGGAGAAUAGCAUGUACUAGAUGCAGAGGAACAGGAUCGGUUAGAGAA